CAGCGGAAAGUAGCUCUGCUACUUCUGCCGGCGAGCGGCGGACGGGUGAGUAAUGUCUGGGAAACUGCCCGAUGGAGGGGGAUAACUACUGGAAACGGUGGCUAAUACCGCAUAACGUCUUCGGACCAAAGUGGGGGACCUUCGGGCCUCACACCAUCGGAUGUGCCCAGAUGGGAUUAGCUAGUAGGUGGGGUAAUGGCUCACCUAGGCGACGAUCCCUAGCUGGUCUGAGAGGAUGACCAGCCACACUGGAACUGAGACACGGUCCAGACUCCUACGGGAGGCAGCAGUGGGGAAUAUUGCACAAUGGGCGCAAGCCUGAUGCAGCCAUGCCGCGUGUGUGAAGAAGGCCUUCGGGUUGUAAAGCACUUUCAGCGAGGAGGAAGGGUGGUGUGUUAAUAGCGCAUCACAUUGACGUUACUCGCAGAAGAAGCACCGGCUAACUCCGUGCCAGCAGCCGCGGUAAUACGGAGGGUGCAAGCGUUAAUCGGAAUUACUGGGCGUAAAGCGCACGCAGGCGGUUUGUUAAGUCAGAUGUGAAAUCCCCGCGCUUAACGUGGGAACUGCAUUUGAAACUGGCAAGCUAGAGUCUUGUAGAGGGGGGUAGAAUUCCAGGUGUACGCGGUGAAAUGCGUAGAGAUCUGGAGGAAUACCGGUGGCGAAGGCGGCCCCCUGACAAAGACUACCGUUCAGUC
rnacentral:rRNA from 1 species